GCGGCCAUAGCUCAGCUGGAUAGAGCGUAGGCUUGCGGAGCCUAAGGUCGGAGGUUCGAACCCUCCUGGUCGCACCA
rnacentral:tRNA from 3 species